rnacentral:rRNA from 1 species
GUAGGGAAUAUUGGGCAAUGGGUGCAAGCCUGACCCAGCCAUCCCGCGUGCCGGAUGAAGGCCCUCUGGGUCGUAAACGGCUUUUGACGGUGAAGAACCGAAAGGGUGCGCCCUUUUUUGACGGUAGCCGUUGAAUAAGCACCGGCUAACUCCGUGCCAGCAGCCGCGGUAAUACGGAGGGUGCGAGCGUUGUCCGGAUUUAUUGGGUUUAAAGGGUGCGUAGGCUGGAAGGUCAGUCAGCGGUGAAAAGCUGUCGCUUAACGAUAGUCUUGCCGCAGAUACUUCCUUUCGUGGAUGAGGAGGAGGCCACUGGAACGGAUGGUGUAGCGGUGAAAUGCAUAGAUAUCAUCCAGAACACCGAUUGCGAAGGCAGGUGGCUGUACCUUAAUCGACGCUGAUGCACGAAAGCAUGGGGAGCAAACAGGAUUAGAAACCCGUGUAGUCC